CCAGGCUGGUCUCGAACCCCUGACCUCAGGUGAUCUGCCCACCUUGGCUUCCCAAAGUGCUUGGGUUAUAGGUGUGCACCACCACACCUGGCCUGAAAUGGGCAUAUUAACAGAACCUCCUUGUAGGUUGUGGUCAGGAUGGAAAGAGCAAAUUCCAUGCCGCAUGCAUAGUAGGUGCUCAGUAAGUACUGGCUGCUUUCGGGUGAUCACUCAGUGCCCUGAUGGGUGCUUUACUGCAGUGUCUGGUGCCUCUGGACACAGAUUUCACCUACAAGGCUUUCUCCAGUCCAGCUGCCAUGGACUGCAGCCUUUCUUUCUUGGGUGCAUGACAGCUUCCUUCAGCUCUGUCUGGGAAGAAGUGAUCAGGACCUUUUUGUUCUAUUUUUUUUUUUUUUUUUUUUUUUAGAUGGAGUCUCACUCUGUUACCCAGGCUGGAGUGCAAUGGGGCUGUUUCGGCUCACUGCAACCUCUGCCUCCUGGGUUCAAGCAAGUCUUCUGCCUCAGCCUCCCAAGUAGCUGGGAUUACAGGCGCCCACUACCACGCCUGGCUAAUUUUUGUAUUUUUAGUAGAGGCGGGGUUUCACUACAUUGGUCAGGCUGAUCUUCAACUCCUGACCUCGUGAUCCACCCACCUCGGCCUCCCAAAGUGCUGGAUUACAGGUUGUGGUGAGCCAUGAUCGCACCACUGCACUCUAGCCUGGGUGACCGAGGGAGGCUCUGUCUCAAAAGCAAAGCAAAAACAAAAACAAAAACACCUAAAAAACCUGCAGUUUUGUUUGUACUUUGUUUUUAAAUUAUGCUUUCUAUUUUGAGAUCAUUGCAAACUCAACACAAUUGUAAGUAAUGAUACAGAGGGAUCUUGUGUACCCUUCACCCAGCCUCCCCCAAUGGCAACAUCUUGCAAAACUACAAUGUAGUCUCAUAACCAGGAUAUUGACAUUGAUACAGUGAAGAUACAGGACAUUCUCAUCACCACAGGGAUCCCCAGGAUGCCCACUUCCCUCCACCCCCACACCCCAGCCGUGUCCCUAACCCCUGGCAACCAGGAAUCCACUCUCCAUUUCUAUAAUGUUGUCAUUUCAAGAAUGUUAUUCAAUGGAAUCAUAUAGUAUGUAACCUGUUUUGAGCUUAAAAAAAAAGUAUACAUGACUUUAAUGAGGAAAAUAAAAAUGAAUAUU
rnacentral:lncRNA from 1 species